UGCAGGGUUCUCUGAGCCUUAGAGGCUCGCCAUCAGUCUCAGCUAGGUCAUCUCAUUCUGCAGUCUCUGGCUCCCUGAGGGCAUUCUUCUCGCCCAGAGCUUUCUCCCCCUGUUGUGUCCCCUUGUUUGUCUUGUUCUGUGUCACGGGUGUCUGGGUAUUUGGCCUGGAGCUGCUCUGCCCUGCUGCAUAGCCUGGUGUAGGUCUAGAAUGGGGCAUGUCCUGGGGCCUGGAAAUUUGUAAUGUGGGGUGUAUUUGGACUCUAGAUGGGAUCUGUAGAUUGAUGAAGGCUACCUGGAGCUGUUAAGUUAUCCUGCAGUGCUCUGACUUUUGUGCUAACGUUCUUUCAGACGCAGCCAGAUGGAAUCCGUGGCAGAGGGCCCCGUCCCGGGUGAGGGGGUCCCCCAAGAAGGAACUAAACCAGAUACUAGCAGUCAAGGCGGUCCGCUUCUGUUACAACGAGACCACAUCCGCAAGUGGCCAAUGGACCCCGGUUUUCACUUCUGUGGGAAUUGAUAUUGUGAAUUAAUUUUUUGUUGGAAUAUGUGGGUAUUUUGUGUUGUUUUUGAUAUAUUAUUGUUUUAAAUUAUAGGUGUGAUAUUUUGAGGUAACUUCUUUGUGGUUUCAGGGGUUUUUUUGUUUAUUUGUUUGUUUAUUUUUUUGUAUGUAUUUAUUUUUCAUGGAUUUAUUUUUAAUGUCUUUUGUAAUUUGUAGUAUUGUAAUUUAAUUGUCAUUUGGGAUAAGAGUGUAUAAAUGUUAUUUUAAGUUUAUGUUAUGUGGAGGAAUUUUUGUAUUUACUGUUUGAAUUCUGUGAGGGAUAAGGUUAGAUGUGAAGAGGUAUACUUAACAAGGCAUUUAGAAAAUAGAUUUUUAGGAUUGGUGUCCAAUAAACAUGGUGUGUUUGUA